rnacentral:rRNA from 1 species
UGGGGAAUCUUGCACAAUGGGGGCAACCCUGAUGCAGCGACGCCGCGUGAGCGAUGAAGGUUUUCGAAUCGUAAAGCUCUGUCCUAUGGGAAGAUAAUGACGGUACCAUAGGAGGAAGCCCCGGCUAACUACGUGCCAGCAGCCGCGGUAAUACGUAGGGGGCGAGCGUUGUCCGGAAUUACUGGGCGUAAAGGGUUCGCAGGCGGCAUGGCAAGUCCGAUGUAAAAGGCGAAGGCUCAACCUUCGUAAGCAUCGGAAACUGUCAAGCUUGAGUUAAGGAGAGGCAAGUGGAAUUCCUAGUGUAGCGGUGGAAUGCGUAGAUAUUAGGAGGAAUACCGGUGGCGAAGGCGACUUGCUGGACUUCAACUGACGCUGAGGAACGAAAGCGUGGGUAGCAAACAGG